AUGACAUCAUUGGCACCACCACUGAGGAGGUUGUCCUUAUGGCAAGACAGGGUAAUGCUAUUCCUUGAUGCUAUCUUGGAAAUGGUGAUUAUAGAGCUUCAGAACGGCCCAUGAAUGGUUCUCUCUGAUGGUGACAACACAUAAAGAGUGCUCGGUUCUCUCUGGUGGUGACGACAUAGAAAGAGUUCUCGGAUAUAGGCGGCUUUACACAAUCAUGCCUUUCAAUUGAUCUUCUAUUUCAACCGUUUGUUAAUAUAUAUAACUUCAUUCACAAACUCCCCCCCCCCCCCCCCCCCCUCCUUUUAAAUUUGUGUGCCUGUUACCUUGCCAGUGUCUGAGAAUGUAAUGUGCUUGGAAUGUUAAUAGAGGAACAAUGUUGAUUUUUGUCAUUGAAUCUUAUCUAUAUGUAAACAUAUAUUCUGCUUUAUUUUUUUUAAAGAGAAAAGUCACCAUUUUCA